rnacentral:rRNA from 1 species
GGAGUUAGCCGGUGCUUCUUCUGUGAGUGAUGUCCUUCCUGCCGGCUAUUAACCCGCAGGCCUUCUUCCUCACUGAAAGUGCUUUACAACCCGAAGGCCUUCUUCACACACGCGGCAUGGCUGGAUCAGGGUUGCCCCCAUUGUCCAAUAUUCCCCACUGCUGCCUCCCGUAGGAGUCUGGGCCGUGUCUCAGUCCCAGUGUGGCUGAUCAUCCUCUCAGACCAGCUACGGAUCGUCGCCUUGGUGAGCCGUUACCUCACCAACCAGCUAAUCCGACAUAGGCUCAUCCGAUAGCGCGAGGCCCGAAGGUCCCCCGCUUUCCCCCGUAGGGCGUAUGCGGUAUUAGCCUGGGUUUCCCCAGGUUAUCCCCCACUACCGGGCAGAUUCCUAUGCAUUACUCACCCGUCCGCCGCUCGCCACCAGGGAGAAAGCUCCCCGUGCUGCCGCUCGACUUGCAUGUGUUAGGCCUGCCGCCAGCGUUCAAUCUGAACCAAGAUCAAACUCUGA